rnacentral:lncRNA from 1 species
AUCUUCACUUCACUUGUUCUACAUCUUCCUAAGUAACUAUCAGCAACUAUCAAAUUAGUUUAUUUCUCUUUCUGUUUCUUUUUUUUCUUUUCAGUAAAGAGUGGAGCAAAGUUACUUGAAUGAAAAUUGUUGGUCUAAGUGGUAUUUACAUACAACAUUUCUGAUACAUCUGAAAUGGAAGUAAACAAGCCUUGUCUGAAAAAUCCACCUUCGUAAGUAAAGACUGCUUGUUCUGGAAAUUUGAAAUCUCACUCCAAAUCUGAAUGAAAGGAUAUACCAAUCUUACUGAAGAAUAUGUUGCAGGAGCAUGGUAGAUUAUAGUGUGCUAUCAAACAGCAGGAGGUAAGGAAUAAGAACAUGAGGCAGAGAGGAAGAGUGCAAUUGCAGUUAAGUUUACAGACAUUCUGCUGCAGUUUAAAGUGAUCUAUGGGAGAGAUGCAAACUCAUGCAUGUUAUCUCAGCUGGCAAACUCUGUCUCAGACCAGUCAUGCGCAAGAGGAUAAAUUUAAACAUAGAAAGGGAAGAACUUUAUCCAUGGAGAAUGGCACCUCGGUCUGUGUAUAAGCUGGAAGAAUACUUACUGGGGCAAGAAUGAAGACACCUAUUGUUCUGCAUCCAAGUAGAAAAAGGAAACAACAACAACAACAACAAAACAGAAGUAUAACUGCCCUGCAGCUAUAGUGAAGAGUACAAAUGGAGAGAUCAGUUCAUUAUUAUGACAGUACUGUUUGCAGUACAUCUUUCUGAACCAUUUUAAGUAAAACACUUCUUUGAACUUAGAAUUUGAUAAGUAUAAUGUGGUUUUGAAACUGUAAAAUGGCUGCUAAAAUUAGUAGAUAAUUGUUGCUGUGUUAGAUGAUUUAUAGCUGCUAAUAGUUCAGCCGACUACUCACCACUGUAAUAGACACUACAAUUUAUAGUACUUUCAUAUGCCAAGACUUCUGACUGUUCCAUAAGUAAUCUGUCAUUCUGAGAAAAACAAUGGCCAUUACAUUGGUCACAGUGGAAUAGAUUAUUUUUCAGCCAUAUUUGUCAAGAAUCCUAUUCAGAUGAUAUUUCAAAAGCUAAAACAUGUCAUAAUGAUUGUUUGCUUCUAAUCAAGUGUACUGUUUCUGGAGUCAGUUUUAGUUUCUUAUCUUUAUAAAUGGAAUAGAACAUUUUUGAAAAAAAAAAACUAUGGAUUAAUAGAUGAACAAAUUUGUUUAAAAUUCAUUCAAAAUUUAUGUCUGAACUUUUAGAAAGUACAAGAUUAAAAGAAGAUGCUGUC